GAGUAAUGUCUGGGAAACUGCCUGAUGGAGGGGGAUAACUACUGGAAACGGUAGCUAAUACCGCAUAACGUCGCAAGACCAAAGAGGGGGACCUUCGGGCCUCUUGCCAUCGGAUGUGCCCAGAUGGGAUUAGCUUGUUGGUGGGGUAACGGCUCACCAAGGCGACGAUCCCUAGCUGGUCUGAGAGGAUGACCAGCCACACUGGAACUGAGACACGGUCCAGACUCCUACGGGAGGCAGCAGUGGGGAAUAUUGCACAAUGGGCGCAAGCCUGAUGCAGCCAUGCCGCGUGUAUGAAGAAGGCCUUCGGGUUGUAAAGUACUUUCAGCGGGGAGGAA
rnacentral:rRNA from 1 species